AUAACGACUCUCGGCAACGGAUAUCUCGGCUCUCGCAUCGAUGAAGAACGCAACGAAAUGCGAUACCUGGUGUGAAUUGCAGAAUCCCGUGAAUCAUCGAGUCUUUGAACGCAAGUUGCGCCCGAGGCCAUUUGGUCUAGGGCACGCCUGCCUGGGUGUCACA
rnacentral:rRNA from 1 species